rnacentral:rRNA from 1 species
CCUACGGGAGGGCAGCAGUGAGGAAUAUUGGUCAUUGGCCGGAAGGUGGAACCAGCCAAGCAGCGUGAAGGAUGACUGCCCUACGGGUUGUAAACUUCUUUUAUAAAGGAAUAAAGUGAGGCACGUGUGCCUUUUUGUAGGUACUUUAUGAAUAAGGAUCGGCUAACUCCGUGCCAGCAGCCGCGGUAAUACGGAGGAUCCGAGCGUUAUCCGGAUUUAUUGGGUUUAAAGGGAGCGUAGAUGGGUUUUUAAGUCAGUUGUGAAAGUCUGCGGCUCAACCGUAAAAUUGCAAUUGAUACUGGCAGCCUUGAGUGCAGUUGAGGUAGGCGGAAUUCGUGGUGUAGCGGUGAAAUGCUUAGAUAUCACGAAGAACUCCGAUUGCGAAGGCAGCUUACUAAACUGCCACUGACAUUGAUGCUCGAAAGUGUGGGUAUCAAACAGGAUUAGAUACCCGGGUAGUC